rnacentral:rRNA from 1 species
UACGUAGGGUGCGAGCGUUAAUCGGAAUUACUGGGCGUAAAGCGUGCGCAGGCGGUUUGUAAGUCUGUCGUGAAAGCCCCGGGCUUAACCUGGGAAUUGCGAUGGAGACUGCAAGGCUUGAAUCUGGCAGAGGGGGGUAGAAUUCCACGUGUAGCAGUGAAAUGCGUAGAGAUGUGGAGGAACACCGAUGGCGAAGGCAGCCCCCUGGGUCAAGAUUGACGCGUCAUGCACGAAAGCGUGGGGAGCAAACAGG